GGAUGAACGCUAGCGGCAGGCCUAACACAUGCAAGUCGAGGGGUAAGGAGAGCUUGCUCUCCCUAGACCGGCGCACGGGUGCGUAACACGUGUACAAUCUACCUUUUGCUAAGGGAUAGCCCGAAGAAAUUUGGAUUAAUACCUUAUAGUAUUGUUUGGUGGCAUCACUGAAUAAUUAAAGCUCUGGUGGCAAAAGAUGAGUACGCGUCCCAUUAGCUAGUUGGUGUGGUAACGGCAUACCAAGGCUACGAUGGGUAGGGGUCCUGAGAGGGAGGUCCCCCACACUGGUACUGAGACACGGACCAGACUCCUACGGGAGGCAGCAGUGAGGAAUAUUGGACAAUGGUCGGAAGACUGAUCCAGCCAUGCCGCGUGCAGGAUGACGGCCUUAUGGGUUGUAAACUGCUUUUAUACAGGAAGAAUAAGGUCUACGCGUAGAUUGAUGACGGUACUGUAUGAAUAAGCAUCGGCUAACUCCGU
rnacentral:rRNA from 1 species